GAAAUAGUUUUGAGAGGCUAUGUAGCAGCAUUGGAGAUUCAGUCAACUUUGAUGGAUAGAAUCAGAGAAGCUCAGAAAGCUGACAGAGAGAUUGCCGCUAUAAAGGAGAAACUGAGCAAAGGAAAAGCUAAAGGAUUUCGUGAGGAUGAACACGACACCCUAUGGUUUGAAGACCGUGUUUACGUGCCCAAUGACCCAGAGAUCAGGAAGUUGAUACUGCAAGAGGCACACGACUCACCAUAUUCGAUUCACCCAGGAAACACCAAGAUGUAUUUGGAUUUGAAGGAUAUUUUCUGGUGGACCGGAAUGAAGAAGGAUAUAGCGGAGUAUGUAGCAGUUUGUGAUGUAUGUCAGAGAGUAAAGGCAGAGCAUCAGAAGCCAGCA
rnacentral:rRNA from 1 species